UCCCUCCAGAUUCCUUGUCCCUCAGAAUGAAAAUAUUGGUCUCAGUGACUAAAAAGAAGGAAAAGUAAAACUGAAAUGAACUUGGUGUCUGUAGUGAUAAACAAGUUCAUUUCAUAUAUGU
rnacentral:snoRNA from 1 species